AGCCCGAGGAAGCACCACGCUCCUUCACUGCCAGACGAGUCUGCAAAGCACGACCUCUGCAUCUCGGGUACCGAGCGAUGGGGUUGGGGACAGGCAGCGCUCCUCAGGAAGGCACAGCCCUGCUGCACAGCACAGCCUGGCUCUCUCCUCUCAUCACACUUCACAGGAGAACACAGGACCGGCUUGCUCGUGCCUGCAGGCUGCCCCUCGGCAAAGGCGCUCUCGGACCUCAGAACUUGGGAAAUAGUCCCUGCCUGCUUAGGAGCACAGUGCCACUCAAGGCUGGGCCACCUCCAGGUACUUCGUGAGAGGUAUUUUACUCUUCCUGGCAAUACUACAUGUGGUCAAAAUGCUUUGUUACUUUUAAACUUGCUGUCUUUGCUUUUGUAGCCUGCAUAGUCUUAGUUCAUAAUCCCCUGCUGAUGUCACACCAAUUCCCAUUCAGUCACCUCUGAUUUCUGGUGAUGUCCAGUGCUGCUGUGUGUGUGCGCUUGUCUAUGAGUGUGCAUAUAUGUACAUGUAUGCACAAUGGAACACAGGUACAAUUUGCCAACAUAGCAUAUUUGUUACUGUCAGUUGCCAAAAAAUAAAAAGGCACAAUGGAAACAAUUAUGCUGUAGUAUUAUAAUUGCUCAACAAUCUGAAGUAACAGUGGAAUUGUUGACUCUUAGUAAUUGCUUAUGACUCAUGAGUGGAUGAGAUAAUACAGGGACUUUGCAAAAGAGGCAGUAGAACAACUGUAAAAGCUAAGACAGGAGAUCUGGGGAAACCAUUAUCACAGCAAACUAAACGUGAAGCUGGUGGACUGUGUUGCAAUUGCUCUUUUUAAAUAUUGCACACUGGGUCCAAAAAUGCCAUUUUUAGUCAUACCAGUACUAUUGCUUUUGGAAGAUUUGGAUUUUAGGUUACAAUUUGCACUUGCUGUGGUUCCAUGUGGUUAACCCACGCUGAAAGCAUAAUCCCGUGGUAUUUAUAAUGCUAGGAUUUUCGAAGAGCCCUUUGCUCAGAGGAUGACCAGUGGUCAGGGGGAGUGUGACAGUAGGCACCCAGCAAGGGGAGCUGGGGGAGCAGGGCAUUUCCUACAGGGAGCUGGGCAUGGGCUGUGUGCGGACGCUGUCAGGUGGUGCAGGUAUGGACUGGGGCAGGCGGGGGCACCGGGGACACAGGUAAGGGCUGGGGCAGGACGAGGCACUGGGGCACUUCUUUCCUGCCCAGCGCACACCGGGCACGCCGACAUUGCACGGUCCUACAUCCCCUUCUGAGGGAGCAGCUCAUUGAAUCACAUCUGCCCUUUCAUCUUCAGCAGUGCAGAGCAUUUCCACUUCCCCGUACAGUUCUUCCUAUUUAUAUCUGUGUACAAAAGAGCAAAAUAUGUCCACAUCAGAAUAUAUGUUUCCCCUCGUUUCUAGAAAAGAAGAAAUUAAGAUUCUGACAUGCAAAUUAAGGUGUCAUCUCUUAAUUGCCCUGAUGUCCCCAGCAUCUGGGGGAGAAAUGACACCAGGGACAGGGAGUUGAUAGCAAAGCAGACAUGCUUAUUAACAUGUUGCACAAUUAAUGGAGGCAAGUAUGCUCUGCAGUGGAGCAGACCUUGUAACCUGUGACAAGGAAACUGAGGUGGGGGAAAAAAGGAAAACAAAACUGAGGAAUAAUUGCAUUGUACAUCUCUGAACCUGCCAGAGGUGAGGCACGUCCUGGGUCAAGUUGUCUGCAAAUUAUACAGUGCAUGCUGUUAUUUUUGUCUUAUUGUCACCCUGAAUAAUGCAGCACUAAAGCCAUAGGGAACUCUUUAGAAGUGUUUGUGCUAUGUUUGGGAGGCAGAAAAUGCUUCUCUCUCCAGAAUGUGCUAGGCUAGACUGUCUAUCCACCUCUUCAUAGCAGGUGUCUCUGACUGAGACUGGUGCCCUCACUCCUCUGUUGCUUCCCCCACUCCCCCUCCAUCCCCUCCCACCUCCCACCUCCAUAGAGCACGCAGCCCUAUAGCUCCACAUGCAACUCCAGGCAAACGGAUCUCCCUGGAAAUCUCUGUGAAAUACUGGAGAAGAGAGCAUGGCUGGCUGGAAGGGUGGCUGCUCGCACUGCUGCUAGCGCCAGGUCUUCUUGCUUUUGGGGGAUUUGGUCAUGUGCAGUGGAGUCCGUUUGCUCUGCAGGGGUGCUUGAGGGCAUCCCCUGCCCCGCAGCUGCCUGCAGCAGUACGCACACCCAUCCGUGGAGCCCAUGGGUCAUGGUGUCCAGGAGUCACUUCCAAACACGUCUUGGAAUUGGUCAUCUAGGGCCGGGUUUCAGAGUAAGCCAAGCACCGGCUGGUGCCCAUCCCCGGCACUGCCAGGAGCAGAGGACGGGCAUCUCUCCCUGGCUGGAGCCCUGGUGAGAAGCUCAAAGCAAACCCCUGGGGAUGGAGCUGCCAGGAACAGGUCUUUCAAAGCGGCGGCUGAAGGCAUCCUCAGCAACCAAAACUCCUGCCUUUGGAUUAAUUAUAGAUCGCAAAUCAACGUCUGACCAGCACCGGCAAGGUGCAGUCCCCAGCCUGGGUACAAUCGCAGAAACUGAACGGUGGGCGGGCAGCUGAGCCAGGGCUGCUGUGGAUGACGCAGGGCUGCUCCCCCGGGAUCAGGCUCUUCUCCCACUGCCUCCGCUGCUGCAUUUCCCAAUGGCUGCUGCGCUACGGUGUGAGGGAGAAGACUUGUGGCCAAACAACUUUUACUGACAGAAUUUGAGCCUUUAAAUGGGCUGAAAAAUCUGAAGAACCCUGGGGGGAACUCCUGGGGGUCCAGUCGCUGCAGGGUGCGUGGACCCCGUGCAGCCCGUCGGCUCCAGAGCCUGUCCUCCUCCAGACGGCCAGGUCCCCUGCCGUGGGGACUCUGCUCGCCCAGCACCGCUGCUCCUGCCUGCGGCAGGGACGGCUCUGCCCAUUUCAGGUAUCUCUGUGUGGUAGCGAUGCAAGAGUGGAAGAAUGGCCUCAUUUUUAUUUUAUCAAGGUAACUUCUGUCAAAUGCCACACCAAACAACUGACUUUUGGCUCACAAAGAUUAGCCUCCUACAAAGGCCCAGUCCCUCAUGAUGUGUCACUCCAGUUAGUGUAUAAAAUAUUAAGUACUAGAGAAAACUGAAGUCUCUGCUCAGCAAGACAGUUCUGUUCCCUCUCAUCAUUUUUGCCUCUGCAAUAGCUUGUUUUGUUCUUGCUUUUAAAAGGGAGAGUGACAGAUCCACUACUGUAGCCAACAUUAAUUUAGAAAUGCAGUGAAAAUAAAAGUGCUUUCUUUCCUGGACUUCUACAACCCCAAAUUCUCCUUGGUGCAUAUAAAAUGCCCACACAGUGCUGCACAUGUACUGCCCAACCACAGCUCUAAGGGCCUGAUAGUCAACUCAGGCUAAAUCAAAGUAUCAAACAGUGAUAUUUGCUAUUUUAUCUAUUAGAAAAUAAGACUCUCUCAUAUCUCUGGAAGAGCAACACUUGAGGAAAAGCUGUAGUAAGAGGGAUGUUUCAAACCUGGCCAUCUGGGUUAUUUCACGUUCUAGCAACUGACUUAAAAGACAGCUGUGUGCCUCCUUGUAUAAAUUCAAGUGGACAAGCUGACAAAGCAGUGAGAAGAGUGACACUGUAUCAGAUAUCUACUUUAAUCAGUCGCUUUGAUCACUGCAAUUUACAAUGCAGAUUGCAAACGAUUUUCUGAUCUCCUUGAUGACAGGUUUUUAAUCCCUGAGGCAUUCUCUGGGGAUGCUUAAGGAGAUAAAUCCGGACUGAACACAUUGCUGGAGUUGUCCCUUCAUUUGUUCAUGGCUUAUGCUGCUGUUGUGGUAACAUCUGUCUGUAGGUGUAUACAUGCCGUAUGGUACUGAUAACAGCUCUACCAGCAGCAGUGUUUCCAGCGCACCCAGGUGGAGCCUGAGUCCUGUGUGGGAUUUGCGCUUCAAGUGUUGUGUUUCUCUUGUUGUUUUGUGGUGACUUGAAAUUCCCAUUCAAUAAUUAUUUACACCUCCAGGCACUGAAAAUCCUUUAAAAGUCUGGGGGCUUAGUAGCUUUUGGGGCCAACUAACAUGGAGUCCUGAAUGUGGCAUUGUUAUUUUACCAAUUACAACUGUAUAUAUGCCAUCAUUAGACAUUAUGUUAUAUAUAAAACUAUUCUUAAAUCUUGUUAUCUGCAAAUCCUCAACAAAUUAGUCUGGUUUUAAGGAGGCCCUAUGCACACACAUGCUAGUCCAAGGAUAUUUGACAUUCACACCAGUUUCUGAGAAAAAAGGGGGAGGAAGUAGAUGAGAGGACAGGUUACAAGCACAAGCAUGUCUUUGGGCAGGCAGGAAACUGCCAGCUGAGAUACAUCUGUAGACUGAAACACGUAACAGUAGUUUCAAAGUGAAGUGCAGAAAUAUGAACCCAGGAUUUUCAGUGUUAAUUUUGUAGGAGAGGUAUGGAAAAUAUCUGUAGUAUGGAAAACCACAAGCAAGAAAUCUAUUGAGAACAAGGGAACACCAUGAAAUAACCAUUCACUGGCAGUCACUGCAGCUACGGCUGCAAUGAGAGUCCAUGUCCAAAGAUGCAUUUUGGACUUCCCAGUCUUCCUUCUCAUUGCUGUUAUUGAGGUCUCUCUAAUUUGGAGUUAGGACUACUUGGAGUUAAAAUCAAACCAGUCAAUUAUACAUUCAGAACUUCGUCUAUAGUGGUGUGGAAGAAGAAUAAAUGUCAUGAGAGGCUGCUGCAGCUCCGUGUCCCCAGGUCAUACCUCCAGUGUGGUUCCCUUUGGGGCUGGGCUCAAACAUGCAGCCUGCUCCCAAGCUGCCCUUCGAUCCCACCGACCCCAGCUGCCUCCUGCACACACACACACACAGAUGGGUCUCUUGGCAAACCGCCGGACGUUACGGUCCCCUCUGCAGCUAGCCAGGAGUCCCCUGGUCUCUGCAGUCGCCAACUCGUCCAGGUGCCUCCUCCUCAGACACACGUCCCCUGGUCCCCAAACCACAUCACCUACUCGACAGCUGGUCUUGCUCCAUCUUCGCCAGUGCCCACACCCACGCUCACACACCCGCACUUGCUCCAGGUCCUGCACCAUGGACACAUGGGCCUUUGGCCCCUGGACCCACCCCAGUCUGUGACACUUGGAGCUCCCACGCACACACGUGCAUCAGCAUAGAGACCUCCUCACAGAGGAAAAGGGUUAGAAAUGGAGUUUGAUGGGACGACAGGACAAGUGGUGCUGGUCAGGCGCAGGGAAAGGCCCGACAAGUGCACUGACCAGCAACACGUUUAUGGGUCACUGGCUCCACUUGUCUCCUUAUCUCUCUAUUUUCCCAUGCUUCUUCCUCCUGAGACUGCCUUGAUCCAUGCCUUUCCCAUAAGAAGUCCUGCGCAAUCCCAAACCACUCUUCCCCUGCAUCCCAUGAUGUCUCCCACACCCCAGGCAGUGACUGCCCUCAGUCUGAAAGGUGGUCCAGAGACCUGCUCCUCUAGAAUCAUCUUGACGGGCUUCACUAGAGGCCUAUGGGCCUGAGUUUCCCCUGGGACAGCCCUGGGAGGGGUCCAGGCAGGGUCUCCUUUCCUCCAAACCCGUAAUUUGGGUCCCUACCUGCUUCUGUGCCUCUGUGCUCCUCUGGGCUUGUGGAGAAGGGCCUCUGAUGGGCUGGUCCCUCUCCUGGGAUGGGUCUGGGACUAGCCCAGGCAGGGUGUUAUUUGUGCUCACCACCACCACUGUGUGCUGCCAUGUGUAUCUGCGUGUGGAGAGGAGGUUUUGUCCCCAGCCUGGCCAGGAGGCAGUGCCAGUGCAGUGUUCAGCCAGCGUGGGACCACCACAGCCCAUUCGGGUGGCCCAGGGGAAGCGGCUGCCCAGAGCGUGGGGAUCCCCCAGCUCCAGCGAGGAAUCGGCACCGACCAACCGAGGCCGUUGGGUCCCCUCCCGCUCACCGCAGAGAGGUUCAGCAGCAGAUUGGUGGCACACUGUCAUCUGCAGUGUGAACAUCAGUUACUGACACAGGGCAGAGUCUUGUCAUUGUCACAGGAGAAACAAACCCUGCAGCAGUAGAAAAGUGAAACCAGAAAUAUUCAGAUCAGAUAUUAAUUGCAAACCUGAAUGGCAGCAGCAAUGGGUCCUAGUGAGUCCCUGCCAGAGCUCUUCCAUGCAGUCUUUGCUUUUCAAAAGUUCUUUUUCGGCAAGCUGCCGCACUGAGCACGGUUCUGUUCCACAGCAGUGCCGAGCACUGUCUUCCAACGUGGGGGCAGAGGUAACGCGGGCGGCUUUUUAGAAAGCUCACGGUGAUUUGGCUGUUGUGCUGCUGUGCACCGGGAUGAGCUCAAGAGCACUCUCUCCUACACGUUUUAUCUCGUUAAAGUGUUGUCCGCUGACAAGAGAGAAGUGGGUGCUGGGGGGGGGGUGUGCUGCCCCGGCUGGCUGUGCACCGGUGACCCCCCUGGCCGAACCGCCGGGCAGCUCUGAGCACGGCAGCAAGCGGCGGUGCCUCCCCCGACACACGCCGAGUUAUCCCCUGCACUCACUGCGGGAUGAACGGCCAGAGGCUCAUUUUAAAUUUCCACCUAUUGGCUUGGGAAAACUAGCACCGCGUACGUCUCUGUGCAUGGGGACCGUGAGUGCUUUCUAAACAAGCUGGACUGCAGGUCCAAUUCCUUUUAUCUACUA